UACGUAGGGUGCGAGCGUUAAUCGGAAUUACUGGGCGUAAAGGGUGCGCAGGCGGUUAUAUAAGACAGAUGUGAAAUCCCCGGGCUCAACCUGGGAACUGCGUUUGUGACUGUAUGACUAGAGUACGGUAGAGAGGGGUGGAAUUCCGUGGUGUAGCAGUGAAAUGCGUGAGAUAUCAGGAGGAACAUCGAGUGGCGAAGGCAGCCC
rnacentral:rRNA from 1 species